AUCCGGUGGUUCUGCGUGGAAGGGCCAUCGCUCAACGGAUAAAAGCUACCCUGGGGAUAACAGGCUUAUCUCCCCCAAGAGUCCACAUCGACGGGGAGGUUUGGCACCUCGAUGUCGGCUCAUCACAUCCGGGGGCUGUAGUAGGUCCCAAGGGUUGGGCUGUUCGCCCAUUAAAGUGGUACGCGAGCUGGGUUCAGAACGUCGUGAGACAGUUCGGUCCCUAUCCGUCGCAGGCGUAGGAAAUUUGAGAAGACCUGUCC
rnacentral:rRNA from 1 species